ensembl:lncRNA
UGAAAUCCUAAUCAUGUCUUAUAAGAUUAAAUAAAAAGACCCAGAGGAUGUUUUUGCAAGGCCUCAACCAAGGAGGACGAACUGGUGACUUAAUAGGAACAUUUACUGCUUUGACUGCCUGGAGUGUGAAACCACCUAUGUUUGAGGAGUCCCUCAUUUCACACAUCAUAGCAGGAGGCAGAAUCCUGCUUGAGAAGGUGGCCGGGUAGCAAACUGAAAAGGCCAGAUCCUUUCCCCGUCUCCUUUGCAGCUAGCGUGGCAUUGUGAUCUAGGCUCAGCCAAUCAGACACACCUUCCCCAGCCCCCAUUGAGGCUUUGAAUCACUGCUAAGGAAGCACAGAGUGGGCAGAGGAGAAGCCGUUCUGGCAGCACAGGUGACGGUAGAAGCAACUCCAGGUCUGAUGCCAGCGGCAGAGAGAGGGCAAGCUGGCAUCCGGUGUUCUUCGGUUGUAGAAGACGUGUCACUAGAACAUCAUGUGAAAUGCUGGACUGGAUGAAGCUCAAGCUGGAAUCAAGAUUGCCGGGAGAAAUAUCAAUAACCUCAGAGAGGCAGAUGACACCACCCUUAUGGCAGAAAGUGAAGAGGAACUAAAGAGCCUCUUGAUGAAGGUAAUACAAGUGCGUUUAUAGACCUCUUGCCAAUGAAGAUAAACUGCAUCCAGUGUGCUGUAUGGCCCUGCUGCUGCUGCUGCUGCUAAAUCGCUUCAGUCAUGUCCGACUCUGUGCGACCCCAUAGACGGCAGCCCCACCAGGCUCCUCUGUCUCUGGGAUUCUCCAGGCAAGAAUACUGGAGUGGGUUGCCAUUUCCUUCUCCAGUGCAAAGUGGAAGUGAAGUUGCUCGGUCGUGUCCGACCCUCAGCGACCCCAUGGACUGCAGCCUUCCAGGCUCCUCCAUCCAUGGGAUUUUCCAGGCAAGAGUACUGGAGUGGGAUGCCAUCGCCUUCUCUGAUCUUGGGCCCAGAGGUCCUGAAUCUAAUCCUUAUUUUGCAACUAAAUAAAACUCAGUGCCUUAAUGUUAAGCCAUCUCUGCUCCUUCCCUCUGUGAACUUGUGAUUUGUUUUCAUUUCCAACUUCCAAUAAGAGGAAUCAAAGUUCAUCAAGUUCUUUGGAAAUUAAGCUCAAAUGAGUCUUAUACCUUCUACUCCCCACUCCAAACCAAAGUAGAAGUUUUCAUGAUCACCGUUAGCAGCAGCAGCACUCACAUGAUCACUAUCCUGAUGUACGGUUGUUACUUGUGAUAUUGAUUAACUUCAUAUAUGGCAGAAAUAGCAUAUGAUAUAUUUUUGGCUAUUUCCGGCUCAGGAAUCCAGGAAUUGUAACAUUCCAACACACCAAGGGACAUCGGGAAGUCAUCUACCCCACCCUCUGCUUUUCAGAGAUGUUCAAACCAUAUGGAAAUACUUUAUUUUCAAGCAAAAUAUUUGUACGUGUGUGAUGAGAUGGCUAGUGAAAGGAAAAUAGACACCAACAGGAAGUUAAAAUGAAAUGCUUCAUUUUUUUCCAUAGGGUUUUAGUUAGCAAUAAAAGACCUUCAGUGCUGUGGGAGAAAGGCCAUCAUGGGUAGUUUUGUGAACUCAGUGAUAAGCUCACCAUU